UGAGACUAGAGAACAGAAAACAGCUAAUGUUUAUGUUGCAGACUCCAGCGAAAAUGUCAACAGCUGCUGUAGCUUAAAUCUGUCCAGUAGCUGUUUCCAUGGCGAAGAAACAGAAAACCUUCAGAAAUGAUUGAAGUCAUGUGACAUCUUGACAUUAUGGGAAACGGUGUAAGUGCCUUAUGCAGCCAUACAGAUUUGGGGCCGUGCUUUGCCAAGAAGAAAAGGGCCCCCAA